GGCACUCUGUAUCCAUUCACUGAGGAAACCCCUUCGGGAGCGAGGGGCUUUCAUGAACAUGUGGCUCCUGAUUCUUGUGCAAUCAGUCAGCUCUGCAACAGGCUGAACUUGGGAGAGAUCCUACCUUAGUAUAUAGGAAAGCUAAUUGUUGUUCCCCCUCACAGACUCUUGCUGGUGCUUCCACACUGCAGCCUGAGUGACUCCUCCGGAUCUGUGGGCUCCUUGCUAGGUGACGCUGAGAUCACCUGCUAAACCAAAUCCAGGCCUCUCCCCACAGUGUGAAACCAAAUGCAGACAAGCCUGACUUCUACUUGGGGGAAGUUUGAAGGUGAAAAGAAGAAAAUCCUGAGAUUUUACAGACCAGUUCACUGUGGGCCCCCACACAGCGAGCACCGACCGUGGGACCCAACGGGCAAACAGUUUCCGUGUAGUACAGAAACCAUCACUGAAGACAAUUUCCCUGUACAGAAAUGUUAUAUUAUAGCACAGCCAUCCCACGAGAAGCAUCACGAAUCUCAGUAAGGAGGAAAUGUCCAGCUAUAUGAAAUAUACUCCCUUGGUUCCUGUGCUCAGGACUCACUCUAGUGGCUAGCUCCCGCAACAGUAACAGUCUGUUACUCCCUCCCCAAGAAGAAUUACGCCUACAAAAGUGGCAGGAGUUGGUGCUUUUGGUGUUGAACACCCCUGGUUCAAACCCCUCCCCCAGGAUGGUGUCUGUGUACAUGAAGCUGUAAGUGUGUGAC